rnacentral:tRNA from 1 species
GGGGGUGUAGCUUAGUGGUAGAGCGCUUGCCUAGUAUGCAAGAGGCCCCGUUUGAUCCCAGCACCACCA